ACAACCACAUGUUUAUCUUUCCCCACAUAAGCCUUAACACCUCCUUGAUGUGGAACACCGCCAUUUCCAGCUCUAUUCUCUCUUCCUCUUUCUCUAAUUUUAUUAAUUUCUUGUGAAGUUUGAGUUGCGUUCUCCACCAAUUCUAACAACACAUUCGUCUUCAAACGUUUGCCCUCACUUAAUCUUUUCUUGUUCUCAAAUUGGUACUUCGAUGGUUACUAUCUCGAAUACAAAUUGCAAAACCAAAGAGUAGAAGGCAAAGUCAUGGAAUUAAGGACCCAGAUAAUAUUAUGGAACAAACUAUCAGGCGUGCGAUAAAGAGGAGUUCAAAAUUGAGACCGAUGGAAAACUUCAGCAAACCCAACUCUAAAAUAUGAAUUUUGUCGUUGAAUUGUGAAAAUUGAUAUGCUCUUUAACAUGGAAAUACCUAAUUUAAUAGACUCUUUUCUUGAAUUCCAUCAUUCUAAUUUGUUUAACUGCAUUUUACAUUAUUGUAAAAUAGUGAAAUGGAUCUCUAUUGUUGUCAUCUUUCA